rnacentral:rRNA from 1 species
AGCGAACGCUGGCGGCAGGCCUAACACAUGCAAGUCGAACGAACCUUUCGGGGUUAGUGGCGGACGGGGGAGUAACACGUGGGAACGUGCCUUUAGGUUCGGAAUAACUCAGGGAAACUUGUGCUAAUACCGAAUGUGCCCUUCGGGGGAAAGAUUAAUCGCCUUUAGAGCGGCCCGCGUCUGAUUAGCUAGUUGGUUGAGGUAAUGGCUCACCAAGGCGACGAUCAGUAGCUGGUCUGAGAGGAUGAUCAGCCACAUUGGGACUGAGACACGGCCCAAACCCUUCGGGAGGGGAGAAGGGGGGAAUUUGCGACAAGGGGCGAAUGCUGAAGGCCCUCGGGCCGGGUAAAUGUGUAAGGUGUGAGGAUUAUAAAUUUUUUUACCCGGGGACAUAAAGACGGGACCCCGGAAAAAAACCCCCGCUUACUUUGGG